CGGUAGCUCAGCUGGAUAGAGUGUUUGGCUACGAACCAAAAGGUCGGGGGUUCGAAUCCCUUCCGGC
rnacentral:tRNA from 1 species